rnacentral:misc_RNA from 1 species
GAAAUGCGAUAAGUAAUGUGAAUUGCAGAAUUCAGUGAAUCAUCGAAUCUUCGAACGCAUCUUGCGCUCCUUGGUAUUCCUUGGAGCAUGCCUGUUUGAGUAUCAUGAAAUCUUCAAAGUAAAUCUUUUGUUAACUCAAUUGGUUUCUACUUUGGUAUUGGAGGUCUUUGCAGCUUCACACCUGCUCCUCUUUGUUCAUUAGCUGGAUCUCAGUGUUAUGCUUGGUUCCACUCGGCGUGAUAAGUUAUCUAUCGCUGAGGACACUGUAAAAGGUGGCCAAGGUAAAUGCAGAUGAACCGCUUCUAAUAGUCCAUUGACUUGGACAAUACUUUUAUGAUCUGAUCUCAAAUCAGGUAGGACUACCCGCUGAACUUAAGC